UGGGGAAUAUUGCACAAUGGGCGCAAGCCUGAUGCAGCCAUGCCGCGUGUAUGAAGAAGGCCUUCGGGUUGUAAAGUACUUUCAGUCGGGAGGAAGGUGUCAAGGUUAAUAACCUUGGCAAUUGACGUUACCGACAGAAGAAGCACCGGCUAACUCCGUGCCAGCAGCCGCGGUAAUACGGAGGGUGCAAGCGUUAAUCGAAUUACUGGGCGUAAAGCGCACGCAGGCGGUUGAUUGAGUCAGAUGUGAAAUCCCCGGGCUUAACCCGGGAAUUGCAUCUGAUACUGGUCAGCUAGAGUCUUGUAGAGGGGGGUAGAAUUCCAUGUGUAGCGGUGAAAUGCGUAGAGAUGUGGAGGAAUACCGGUGGCGAAGGCGGCCCCCUGGACAAAGACUGACGCUCAGGUGCGAAAGCGUGGGGAGCAAACAGG
rnacentral:rRNA from 1 species